rnacentral:lncRNA from 1 species
UAAAUGGUCGCAAAGAAUUUAAAGGAUAAUAAUAUUUUGUGACAUCUAUUUGUAUCCAUAAAUAACAUUUUAUUGGAACCCAGCCACACUCAUUUGCUAGGUAUUGAGUAUAGCUGCUUCCAUGGUACAUGGUAAAGUUGAGUAAUUGCAACAGAGACCAAAUGGCUCGAUAGCCCUAAAAUGCUCUCUGCCCUUAACAAAAAAAAUAUUGGAAACUAACCAGUCUUAUACAUAUUUUAAAAAAGUUUGCCCGCCCCUGAUCUAGACUGAAACUUGGGACCAUUUUAUCAAGUAAAUACCAGAUGAAUUGCCUGUUUAAUCCCCGGCUCUGAAUUCAUGACCUCUUUUCCCUUAUUUGUAGAUUGGCAAACUAAUUGAGUUGCAAGGCAUCUAGAAUAGCCAAAACAACCUUGAAAAAGAAAAAGGAGGAGGAUUCACACUUUUUCUGACUUCAUAUAGAUCAAAGGAAUAGAAUUGGAAGUCCAGAAAUAAAACCAUGUGUCAAUGGUCAAAUGAUUUUCCACUAGGGUGCCAAGAUUAUUCAGUGGGGGAAAGAAGAGUCUUUUUAACAAAUGAUGCUGAGCUAACUGUAUAUCUACUUAGAAAAGAAUACAGUUUGACCCUACCUUAUACCAUAUAUAAAAUAUGAACUAAAAAUAUAUCAAAAAUCUAAAUGUAAGAGCUAAAACUAUAAAACUAUUAGAAGAAAACAAAGGGGUAAAUCUUCAUAAUCUUAGAUUUGGCAGAAAAGAUUUUUCUUAUUGCACCAAAAACAUGAGCAACAACAACAACAAAAAGAUAAAUUAGACUUCAUCCAAAUUAAAAAACUUUUGUACAGGAUAUUACCAAGAAAGUGAAAAGGCCAGGCAUGGUGGCUCAUGCCCGUAAUCCCAGCAGUUUGGGAGGCUGAAGUGGGUGGAUUGCUUGAAUCCAGCUUGGGCAACGUGGUGAAACCCUGUCUCUAC